AUUGAACGCUGGCGGCAUGCUUUACACAUGCAAGUCGAACGGCAGCACGGGUGCUUGCACCUGGUGGCGAGUGGCGAACGGGUGAGUAAUGCAUCGGAACGUAUCCAAUAAUGGGGGAUAACGCAUCGAAAGGUGUGCUAAUACCGCAUACGCCCUGAGGGGGAAAGUGGGGGACCGUAAGGCCUCACGUUAAUGGAGCGGCCGAUGCCUGAUUAGCUAGUUGGUGAGGUAAAGGCUCACCAAGGCGACGAUCAGUAGCUGGUCUGAGAGGAUGAUCAGCCACACUGGGACUGAGACACGGCCCAGACUCCUACGGGAGGCAGCAGUGGGGAAUUUUGGACAAUGGGCGCAAGCCUGAUCCAGCCAUGCCGCGUGAGUGAAGAAGGCCUUCGGGUUGUAAAGCUCUUUCGCAAGGGAAGAAAACUUAGUUCUUAAUACGAGCUGAGGAUGACGGUACCUUGAUAAGAAGCAUCGGCUAACUACGUGCCAGCCGCCGCAGUAAGAC
rnacentral:rRNA from 1 species